AGAACAACAGAGGUGUCAGGGACCAGA
rnacentral:sRNA from 1 species